CAUGUAAAAAUGUAUAAAGCAGGUCUUGUGCGGUUACAGAGGACAUGACAGCAUCAAGAGUUUGAGAAUCAUGAUGGUAAUCAGUUGCAAUGUGAACUACCAAAUAACCAUGAAGUACAAGCAGAUCCAGUUAGUGUGGAACAAAUAAAGGAGAAUCAUGAUGAUGAU